AUUGAACGCUGGCGGCAGGCUUAACACAUGCAAGUCGAGCGGGGGAGGGUAGCUUGCUACUGGACCUAGCGGCGGACGGGUGAGUAAUGCUUAGGAAUCUGCCUAUUAGUGGGGGACAACAUCUCGAAAGGGAUGCUAAUACCGCAUACGUCCUACGGGAGAAAGCAGGGGAUCUUCGGACCUUGCGCUAAUCGAUGAGCCUAAGUUGGAUUAGCUAGUUGGUGGGGUAAAGGCCUACCAAGGCGACGAUCUGUAGCGGGUCUGAGAGGGUGAUCCGGCACACUGGGACUGAGACACGGCCCAGACUCCUACGGGAGGCAGCAGUGGGGAAUAUUGGACAAUGGGGGGAACCCUGAUCCAGCCAUGCCGCGUGUGUGAAGAAGGCCUUAUGGUUGUAAAGCACUUUAAGCGAGGAGGAGGCUACUCUAGUUAAUACCUAGGGAUAGUGGACGUUACUCGCAGAAUAAGCACCGGCUAACUCUGUGCCAGCCGCCGCAGUAA
rnacentral:rRNA from 1 species